rnacentral:rRNA from 1 species
UACGUAGGGGGCUAGCGUUGUCCGGAUUUAUUGGGCGUAAAGGGUGCGUAGGCGGCGCGGUAAGUCGGGUGUGAAAUCUUGGAGCUUAACUCCGAAACUGCAUUCGAUACUGCCGUGCUUGAGGACUGGAGAGGAGACUGGAAUUUACGGUGUAGCGGUGAAAUGCGUAGAUAUCGUAAGGAAGACCAGUGGCGAAGGCGGGUCUCUGGACAGUUCCUGACGCUGAGGCACGAAGGCCAGGGGAGCAAACGGG